AUUGAUCGCUAGCGGGAUGCUUUACACAUGCAAGUCGAACUAGUGGCGGACGGGUGAGUAAUAUAACGGAACGUGCCCAGUAGCGGGGGAUAACUACUCGAAAGAGUGGCUAAUACCGCAUAAUAUUGGAGCGGUCGAUAUCGGAUUAGCUAGUUGGUGGGGUAAAGGCUGACAGAGGCAACGAUCCGUAGCUUGUUUGAGAGGACGACCAGCCACACUGGGACUGAGACACGGCCCAGACGCCUACGGGAGGCAGCAGGGGGGCAUUGUGGACAAUGGGGAAACCCUGAUCCAGCCAUCCCGCGUGUAUGAGAAGGCCUUCGGGUUGUAAAGUACUUUUGGCAGAGAAGCGGUAUCUGCAGAAUAAGCACCGGCUAACUACGAGACAGCAGCGGCGGUAAUUC
rnacentral:rRNA from 1 species